rnacentral:miRNA from 1 species
ACUGGCAGACUGCCCCAAAGCCUAGACUGUAGCUACCUUGUAUUGUGCUGGGGGUUGCUGGGGUAGGUCUUUGGGGGAAGCUGUUUGU